GAUCAUGGCUCAGGAUGAACGCUAGCUACAGGCUUAACACAUGCAAGUCGCGGGGCAGCAUUCCUUAGCUGCUAAGGAAGAUGGCGACCGGCGCACGGGUGAGUAACGCGUAUCCAACUUCCCAUGUCCACGGGAUAGCCCGUCGAAAAGGCGGAUUAAUACCGUAUGAGGUCACAUGCGGGCAUCUAAGUGUGACGAAAGGUUUUGUCGGACAUGGAUGGGGGAUGCGUCCGAUUAGCUGGUUGGCGGGGUAACGGCCCACCAAGGCGACGAUCGGUAGGGGGUUCUGAGAGGAAGGUCCCCCACAUUGGAACUGAGACACGGUCCAAACUCCUACGGGAGGCAGCAGUGAGGAAUAUUGGUCAAUGGACGUAAGUCUGAACCAGCCAAGUAGCGUGCAGGAUGACGGCCCUAUGGGUUGUAAACUGCUUUUAUGCGGGGAUAAAGUGUGGGACGUGUCCCAUAUUGUAGGUACCGCAUGAAUAAGGACCGGCUAAUUCCGUG
rnacentral:rRNA from 1 species